rnacentral:rRNA from 1 species
UACGGGGGGGGGCAAGCGUUGUUCGGAAUUACUGGGCGUAAAGGCUCGUAGGUGGCCAACUAAGUCAGACGUGAAAUCCCUCGGCUUAACCGGGGAACUGCGUCUGAUACUGGAUGGCUUGAGUUUGGGAGAGGGAUGCGGAAUUCCAGGUGUAGCGGUGAAAUGCGUAGAUAUCUGGAGGAACACCGGUGGCGAAGGCGGCAUCCUGGACCAACACUGACGCUGAGUGAGCGAAAGCCAGGGGAGCAAACGGG